ensembl:snoRNA small nucleolar RNA SNORA57
CCUUCUUUUCUUGGUGGGGGUCAAAUGGUGUGUGGUCCCUGCCCCCAUUAUGUAUUGAGGCAGAGAGAAAGGGCUCCAGCCCCCUUCCACACCAUGUCUUUGGUACCCACGGCUUUCAGUCCACCAGUUAUAUCCUCAAGCAUCAGGACAUGG